GACCGAGGGUGCAAACGUUGUUCGGAUUUACUGGGCGUAAAGCGCGUGUAGGCGGCUUUGCAAGUCGGAUGUGAAAUCCCACGGCUCAACCGUGGAAGUGCAUCCGAAACUGCAUCGCUGGAGUCUCGGAGAGGAAGGUGGAAUGCUUGGUGUAGAGGUGAAAUUCGUAGAUAUCAAGCGGAACACCGGUGGCGAAGGCGGCCUUCUGGACAGUGACUGACGCUGAGACGCGAAAGCGUGGGGAGCAAACAGG
rnacentral:rRNA from 1 species